rnacentral:rRNA from 1 species
GGAUUGAACGCUGGCGGCAGGCCUAACACAUGCAAGUCGAGCGGUAGAGAGGUGCUUGCAUCUCUUGAGAGCGGCGGACGGGUGAGUAAUGCCUAGGAAUCUGCCUAGUGGUGGGGGAUAACGUUCGGAAACGGACGCUAAUACCGCAUACGUCCUACGGGAGAAAGCGGGGGACCUUCGGGCCUCGCGCCAUUAGAUGAGCCUAGGUCGGAUUAGCUAGUUGGUGAGGUAAUGGCUCACCAAGGCGACGAUCCGUAACUGGUCUGAGAGGAUGAUCAGUCACACUGGAACUGAGACACGGU